GACCUGGUGAUUAUGGCGGAGUGGCUGCACCCGAUCCCAUCCCGAACUCGGCCGUGAAACGCUCCAGCGCCAAUGGUACUGCGUCUUAAGACGUGGGAGAGUAGGUCGUCGCCAGGUCU
rnacentral:rRNA from 1 species